GACGAACGCUGGCGGCGUGCUUAACACAUGCAAGUCGAGCGGUAAGGCCCUUUUGGGGGUACACGAGCGGCGAACGGGUGAGUAACACGUGGGUGACCUGCCCUCAGCUCUGGGAUAAGCCUGGGAAACUGGGUCUAAUACUGGAUAUGACCUUUCCUCGCAUGGGGGUUGGGUGGAAAGUUUUUCGGCUGGGGAUGGGCCCGCGGCCUAUCAGCUUGUUGGUGGGGUGAUGGCCUACCAAGGCGACGACGGGUAGCCGGCCUGAGAGGGCGACCGGCCACACUGGGACUGAGACACGGCCCAGACUCCUACGGGAGGCAGCAGUGGGGAAUAUUGCGCAAUGGGCGGAAGCCUGACGCAGCGACGCCGCGUGGGGGAUGACGGCCUC
rnacentral:rRNA from 1 species